UCUCUCUCUCUCUCUCGGCUUUGAGAGCUAACAUCAGUUAUAGAAGAACAGGGGAGGUUCUCAGCGUCUUUAUGAUCUUUGUGAGGGUCAAAGCUUAACAGAUGAAAUAUACGCGUGAUUAUUUUUGGAUUCAGCACAUGUAUAAAUAUAUAUUUUUUGGAAAACUCUUUCCCUCAGGUUGGAUGGCAUUUCUACACAUAUGGUCCAAAAAGUGUAAAGCAUCCAUAUUAAAGAUGGAUGCUA
rnacentral:lncRNA from 1 species